AUUUCAUUGGAGUUCAAGGACAGUUGAAAAAAAUAGGCAAGUUUCUAGAAUUAACGAAACGAAGCCAAAUCAAACUACUUUAUUUAUAGUUUGGACGAUAUUCGGUAAGUAGUUCAUGAUAAUUCAUUGAUUGCAAAGAAGAGAUAAAAGAUUGAACAACAAAUAAGUGAUAUUAAAAAUAAGGCAACAAGCAGGAGUUGCAUAAGGAUAUGUUGGCACGUUCUUUUACGGCGUUUUGUAUCGCAGUAAACGCAUUAAGAGCAAAUUUAUUCACCAUGGCCUGGAGAUCUUCCGGAACGACUAACGAAGAAUUGAUUAGCAAGUUAAAAGCAAAUGGAAUAAUAAAGAGUGAUAGAGUUUUUCAAGCGAUGAUUUCCGUUGAUAGAGCUAAUUUUUGUAAGAAUAAACCCUACGUUGAUUCUCCUCAGGGAAUAGGAUAUGCAGUGACUAUAAGUGCUCCUCACAUGCAUGCACAUGCGCUGGAAUUAUUAUCUGAGCAUCUGCAGGAAGGGAAACGAGCAUUAGAUGUUGGAUCAGGAAGCGGUUACUUGACAGCAUGCAUGGCAAAAUUAGUAGGAAGUACAGGAAAAGCUGUUGGCAUAGAACAUAUAGACGAGCUAGUGUCUUUGUCAAAGCAAAACUUAAAUCGAUCCCCUGAAACGCAGGAAAUGCUGGACAAUGGUCAGGCUGUUUUUGUUGUUGGCGAUGGACGUCAAGGUUAUCCCCAGUACGGUCCGUACAAUGCUAUUCAUGUCGGUGCUGCUGCUCCAACUAUUCCACAGGCAGUGAGUACAGUUAAUUGAAUUUUUUCUACCUGUAAAAAUAAACACUUCGACGAGUAAAUACUUUCUAGCUGGAAAAUCAAUUAGCUGAAGGUGGACGGCUAAUUAUACCUGUCGGACCUCGAGAUGGUCGACAAUAUUUAUACAUCAUUGAUAAAACCAACGAGGGUACAACAAACAGAAAACGCUUUCUUCCAGUUUCCUUCGUACCUUUGACUGAUAAGAAAAAACAAUACUGGCGUUAAUUUUUCUCUUUAUAAAUUAUCUCUCUUACCUUUUCUAAUUUAUAAAUUAGCAUUUCUUACAUUUAACGAAUAAAUUCUAUAUGAAACAUCAACAGUUAAUUGAGCAAUUAGCUCCUGGAGGACGCCUUAUUUUACCUGUCGGACCCGAAGGUCAUGAUCAAGAAUUAAUUCAAGUAGACAAGGAUAUGCAAGGCCAAAUAAAAAAAACAAAAUUAAUGGGAGUUAUCUAUGUUCCAUUAACCGAUAAACAAAAACAAUAUUCAAAGUGAUUUUAUAUACUUAAAUUAAAAUCUGUUGACAUAUUUUUACUAUUCACUAUUUUCUCUUAGAUCGCAAAGGAUUGACUUGUAAUAAAUAAUUUGAUGAAGAAAAACAACAACCCAGAAGAUUGAAAACCUUGUCUGCAAAAGCCGAAAAACAGAAAUAAAGAGCCAGUGAAAAAAAAAUAAAAAAUGAAGACUUUUUUAUUUUUUUUUAUAUGCUGAUUUGAUAAAUUUCUAUCUGACAUUUGAACUUUUCCCCUUAAAUAUUCAAUAAUUUGUAAAGUUAAAUAAACAACUUAAAAUUUAUCAUAAACUGAGAAUUAUUUCUUAGAGAAGAGAAGAAGGGAGAGAGAGAGAGAGAGAGAGAGACAGAUGCACGCAUACAAGAAAUAAG
rnacentral:misc_RNA from 1 species